CAGUAGCCGCGGGAAUACGAGGGGGGCAAGCGUUGUUCGGAAUUAUUGGGCGUAAAGGGUGCGUAGGCGGUUUGACAAGUCUUAUGUGAAAUCUUCGGGCUCAACCCGAAGUCUGCAUAGGAAACUGUCGGGCUUGAGUAUUGGAGAGGUGAGUGGAAUUUCCGGUGUAGCGGUGAAAUGCGUAGAUAUCGGAAGGAACACCUGUGGCGAAAGCGGCUCACUGGACAAUAACUGACGCUGAUGCACGAAAGCUAGGGGAGCAAACAGGAUUAGAUACCCCCGUAGUCCCUGUCUCUUAUAC
rnacentral:rRNA from 1 species